rnacentral:ncRNA from 2 species
CUAUGAUCCGGCCCUUCAGGUGCCCUCAGCCGCCAGGCUUCGGGAGAAUCGGGAAGGCGGUGCAAGUCCGCCACGUGCCCAACGCUGUAAGGAAGAUGGGCCAGGCUCGGCGCUCGAAAAGCAAUUUUCUGAGCGCUCCAAUUGCCACUGGCGCGAGCCGGGAAGGCGCCUGGCUCAAGUGAAUCCAAGUCAGAAGACCGGCCUGAAACAUCACAAGCUG